CUGACAUCAUUUUUUAAUUCUAGGGAUAGCACACCCAUAGAUGUGAAGCAGAAACAAAGAGCUGUCUUGGCCAAAGACAGACAAACUGUUGCUGACAUCCACCAAACUCAGAACUGUGUAUGGUGAGGGACAGUUGAUAUAAGCAAUGUGUGAAGAUGGGUGAAAAAGUUUAAAUAAGGCAAAACAAGUGUUGGAGACAAACUGCAAGACUAUCGACACCAGUCACGGAUAAAAACCAAACCGGUGGAUAAAUUGAUUCACACAGACUGACGGAUAACUGACAGAGAGAUUGUGGCGGAACCUGACUGUGGUCAAAUUGCUGACUUAAAAAAAAAGCAAUCUGUAAGAAAAGACCACGGGAAACAGCUGAAUGCAAUCCAGCUAUGCCAUGAAUAAUGCAUAAGUUCACACUUCUUUGGCAACAUCGCAGGUUUUUCCAAAAACAAGAUGGUCACAUCCACCUUACAGCCCUGAUUUCGCACUCUCAGACUUCGAUUUGUUUAGUCAAAUUAAGGAAAGUCUUCGGAAUGGCGCUUCAAUGAUACAGGUGAAUUGAAAGACGCUAUCAGAUAAUGAGUGAGGGGGUGCCCCAAAGACGUCUUCCAAAUUGGCUUUGAAUAAAAUGGUUUUAAUGAUGCCGCAAAUGCAUAACCACUAGAGGAGACUAUUUUGAAUAGCACUAUGUUGUAGAUAAAGAGUUACUCUAUAUGUGUAUAUAGUUUUUCAUUUAUUUUUUGUCUUGUACAUAAAGGACUAAUGACCUGACAGGC
rnacentral:lncRNA from 1 species